rnacentral:rRNA from 1 species
AUUGAACGCUGGCGGCAUGCCUUACACAUGCAAGUUGAACGGCAGCACGGGGCAACCUGGUGGCGAGUGGCGAACGGGUGAGUAAUGCAUCGGAACGUACCUUUCAAUGGGGGAUAACGUAGCGAAAGUUACGCUAAUACCGCAUAUUCUGUGAGCAGGAAAGCAGGGGAGCGCAAGACCUUGCGCUGAUUGAGCGGCCGAUGUCAGAUUAGCUAGUUGGUGAGGUAAAGGCUCACCAAGGCGACGAUCUGUAGCGGGUCUGAGAGGAUGAUCCGCCACACUGGAACUGAGACACGGUCCAGACUCCUACGGGAGGCAGCAGUGGGGAAUUUUGGACAAUGGGGGCAACCCUGAUCCAGCCAUGCCGCGUGAGUGAAGAAGGCCUUCGGGUUGUAAAGCUCUUUCGGCCGGGAAGAAAUCGCACGGGCUAAUACCCUGUGUGGAUGACGGUACCGGAAUAAGAAGCACUGGCUAACUACGUGCCAGCCGCCGCAGUAAUAC